CCUGGGUGGCUCAGUCGGUUAAGCGUCCGACUUCAGCUCAGGUCAUAAUCUUGCAGUUUGUGGAUUUGAGCCCUGUGUCGGGCUCUGUGUUGACAAUUCAGGCUGCUCCAGAUUCUGUGUCUCCCUCUCUCUGCCCCUCCCCUACUUGUGCUCUGUCUCUCUCUGUCUCUCAAAAAUAAAUAAAUGUUUAAAAAAAAAAAAAAAAA